UCAAGGUAAUUUCAAAGACCCUUUGCUCGGCUAAUACUAAAAUAAUCAUUUAGUACCUAAUAAAAUGAGCGGAAAGAAAGUCGAUGGGAAAUCGGGUAGCGUCAUGGGCUGGAUAAGCACAGCUUGCCAUUUUGCAGCGGACAGAAAUGACUUUAGAAGGAAUCUCCUUGUAAACCUGGGUUUAUUUGCUGCGGGUGUUUGGGUCGCAAGAAACCUCUCAGAUUUCGACCUAAUGUCUCCUCAGCCAAUUACGUAGCUCCCGAUCAACAACGACAAAAA